UUCGUAUUAAAUAACCUUGCCGCAAUGAAAAACACCCUAGUUGUAGUUGCGACGAUGAAGACUACACUUUACUUUUUUAUGUUCUGCCUACUUUUUGCGAUUACUUUGUCUGCACCGCAAACAAAAAAUCAUAAACACCAUAAAACACAUCAUCAUAAACGCGAUGGAUAUGGGGGUCCAGAUGAAACUGUCACAGGGAUAGGAACUACUACCCCUUCGAUAAACUCCAGUAUUGUUAACGAAAUUUAUUUAGAUGCAUUUUCAAACAUUCUCAAGAAUACUGAUGAAUGGAGAAUUCCUAUUACAAAUGAUAGCGUUCAAUUACAAGAUUUACUAUAAUGUUCAAAACUAAAAAAUUAAACUGUUUCUUUUUGUAAAUGCUUUUUUAAUUAUUAAUAGUAACCAUAAAGUCCAUUUUCCAUUUUAGACUAUUAUACUAUUUGUCUAUAUGGCUCCAAAUCCUCCAUAUAAUUCAACUGACCCAUCAUAUCCUUCAAAUCUUACGAUUUCGUGAAACCAUCCUACAACAUACGAUAUAACAACUUUGUAUUUAAAUAAAACGCAUAAUAGUUGAGAUAUUAGGCUGAAAUUUAUUCCAGGUGUAGUACACAUCUUACAUUUAACUAUGGAAUUCGAUAUCGUUCAUAUGAACCUCAUAAAAAGGAAUCUAACGGCGUUAAAUGAUAUAAUCGAGAUGUUUGGCCUGCUGUGUGGCAAGCGACACCAUCUUGUUAGAACCACAUAACUCUGAUGUCAAGCCCAUCCAAUUUUGGCCAAAAAUAGUCUUUCAAAUGAUUGGCAAUUCACCGUAAUGGAGAAAAAAUGUGGUCCACAUACACUUUCGGCAUGAAAUCCACGCCGUACGGCCUUUUUUGUGGUUGUAAUGGAGUUUCUUGAAGCACAUGUGGAUUUGUUGUUGUGCAAUAAUGCCAUUAUCAAAUUAGUACUUUUUCAAUGCUCUAAUACCAUAAACAGAUGAGGUACUGAUAUGUUCAUAUUUGUACUUAUAUACAAAACGGUUGAAACUGGAGGACCAUAUCUUAUUAUAAAGGAUCACAAAAAUUAUCUCACUAACUAGGACCUGCUUGGCUAAAACUAUAAUCAGGAAAUAUUCACAGAUGCAACUUCACAUUAAGAAGAUGUUUUAUACUAUAUUAAAGAACAUUCAAACUGAUAGAUUUGAAUUAACUUGAGGUUGUGGAUUUUCAAAGUGUAUACAUUUGUCAAAAUCUCAAAGUGAAGCAAGAAGCUGAAGAGCUAAAAAUUAGCUCUAUUCAUAGAAUAACAAUAAAAUAAUUAAACUAUUUUUUUAUAAUGCUUUUUUAUUUAACAUUGGAUAUUGUAGAAUAUAAGACGUCUUUAGUGAUUAUUAAUAACCCAGAGCACAAGGUUAAUUUUUCUUUUUAGAAUGCUGUGUUGUUAGUGUUGGUGUUAUUGCAAGGGCAACAAUACGGCGGUCUUCCUCCAGGUCCUCCCCAAUAUGGUGGUCUUCCUCCCCCAUAAGGUGGUCUUCCUCCCCCAUAUGGUGGUCUACCAUAUCCGCCAUAUCCACCAUACCCGCCAU